CAACCAAGCCCUCCAGCAAGGAUUCAGGUUGUUGAGUGCUUGGGAGGGACACCCGCCUCCACUCUGCAAGAACUCAUAAAGGGAGAUGAGGGGAUCGUGGGAGGGAGGGAGGAGGGUGCCACUGAUCCCCUGAACCCCUGCCUCCGCCUCCAGGGUGCCCCUCCGGCCUCGCCAUGAGGCUCUUCCUGUCGCUCCCGGUCCUGGUGGUGGUUCUGUCGAUCGUCUUGGAAGCCAGGCGUUGUGGUGCGCGCUUGGCUACUUGGGAGGCUGAGACAGGAGAACUGCUUGAACCUAGGAGGCGGAGGUUGCAGUAAGCCGAGAUCGCACCAUUUGACACAGCAAGUCUCCGUCUCAAAACUACAACAACAACAACAACAACAACCAAAUUUUGCACCCCUGCCUCAUCUUCCUGGCAGGCCCAGCCCCAGCCUAGGGGGCUCCAGAAGUCUCCAACCCCUUUGAUGGCCUGGAGGAGUUAGGAAAGACCCUGGAGGACUACACUCGGGAAUUCAUCAACCGCAUCACACAGAGUGAACUUCCUGCCAAGAUGUGGGAUUGGUUUUCAGAGACAUUUCGGAAAGUGAAGGAGAAACUCAAGACUGACUCAUGAGGACCUGAAGGGUGACAUCCCAGGAGGGGCCUCUGAAAUUUCCAACACCCCAGCGCCUGUACUGAGGACGCCCUCCAUGUGUGUCCAAUGUGGUCACACGCCCAGGUGUGACCAAUAAAAAUCCUAUGGAAAAUUCUCUCUGGCCAGGCAUGGUGGCUGACGCCUGUAAUCCCAGCACUUUGGGAGGCUGAGGCGGGCGGAUCACAAGGUCAGGAGAUUGAGCCCAUCCUGGCUAACACGGUGAAACCCCGUCUCUACUAAAAAUACAAAAAAAAUAGCCAAGCGUGGUGGCAGGCGCCUGUAGUCCCAGCUAUUCGGGAGGCUGAGGC
rnacentral:lncRNA from 10 species